ensembl:ncRNA C16B8.6 ncRNA
UGUAGCAGUUAUAAAAAAUAUGGGGGGGGGGGGGCCUUGAAUCGACCCGUAUAUUAUCCCAAGCUGUCAUGAUGCUCAAAGAGCUUUGCCGGUCUCCAGAACCACUUGAUCUCGGCUAAUUACCACCGUUCAUUAUCUUA